UACGUAGGUGGCAAGCGUUGUCCGGAUUUACUGGGCGUAAAGAGCGCGCAGGCGGUCGUUCAAGUCGCGUGUGAAAGCCCCCGGCUCAACUGGGGAGGGUCACGCGAUACUGAUCGACUCGAAGGCAGGAGAGGGUAGUGGAAUUCCCGGUGUAGUGGUGAAAUGCGUAGAUAUCGGGAGGAACACCAGUGGCGAAGGCGACACACUGGCCCGUAACUGACGCUGAGGCGCGAAAGCGUGGGGAGCAAACAGG
rnacentral:rRNA from 1 species